rnacentral:rRNA from 1 species
UUAGAGUUUGAUCCUGGCUCAGAUUCUACGCUGGCGGCAGGCCUAACACAUGCAAGUCGAGCGGAUGAGUGGAGCUUGCUCCAUGAUUCAGCGGCGGACGGGUGAGUAAUGCCUAGGAAUCUGCCUGGUAGUGGGGGACAACGUUUCGAAAGGAACGCUAAUACCGCAUACGUCCUACGGGAGAAAGCAGGGGACCUUCGGGCCUUGCGCUAUCAGAUGAGCCUAGGUCGGAUUAGCUAGUAGGUGAGGUAAAGGCUCACCUAGGCGACGAUCCGUAACUGGUCUGAGAGGAUGAUCAGUCACACUGGAACUGAGACACGGUCCAGACUCCUACGGGAGGCAGCAGUGGGGAAUAUUGGACAAUGGGCGAAAGCCUGAUCCAGCCAUACCGCGUGUGUGAAGAAGGUCUUCGGAUUGUAAAGCACUUUAAGUUGGGAGGAAGGGCAGUAAGUUAAUACCUUGCUGUUUUGACGUUACCAACAGAAUAAGCACCGGCUAACUUCGUGCCAGCAGCCGCGGUAAUACGAAGGGUGCAAGCGUUAAUUGGAAUUACUGGGCGUAAAGCGCGCGUAGGUGGUUCAGCAAGUUGGAGGUGAAAUCCCCGGGCUCAACCUGGGAACUGCCUCCAAAACUACUGAGUUAGAGUACGGUAGAGGGUAGUGGAAUUUCCUGUGUAGCGGUGAAAUGUGUAGAUAUAGGAAGGAACACCAGUGGCGAAGGCGACUACCUGGACUGAUACUGACACUGAGGUGCGAAAGCGUGGGGAGCAAACA